GACGAACGCUGGCGGCGUGCUUAACACAUGCAAGUCGAACGGAAAGGCCCUGCGUUUGUGGGGUGCUCGAGUGGCGAACGGGUGAGUAACACGUGAGUAACCUGCCCUUGACUUUGGGAUAACUUCAGGAAACUGGGGCUAAUACCGGAGAGGAGCUCCUGCUGCAUGGUGGGGGUUGGAAAGUUUCGGCGGUUGGGGAUGGACUCGCGGCUUAUCAGCUUGUUGGUGGGGUAGUGGCUUACCAAGGCUGUGACGGGUAGCCGGCCUGAGAGGGUGACCGGCCACAUUGGGACUGAGAUACGGCCCAGACUCCUACGGGAGGCAGCAGUGGGGAAUAUUGCACAAUGGGCGGAAGCCUGAUGCAGCAACGCCGCGUGCGGGAUGACGGCCUUCGGGUUGUAAACCGCUUUCGCCUGUGACGAAGCGUGAGUGACGGUAAUGGGUAAAGAAGCACCGGCUAACUACGUG
rnacentral:rRNA from 1 species